rnacentral:rRNA from 1 species
UAGGGAAUCUUCGGCAAUGGGGGGAACCCUGACCGAGCAACGCCGCGUGAGUGAAGAAGGUUUUCGGAUCGUAAAGCUCUGUUGUAAGAGAAGAACGGGUGUGAGAGUGGAAAGUUCACACUGUGACGGUAUCUUACCAGAAAGGGACGGCUAACUACGUGCCAGCAGCCGCGGUAAUACGUAGGUCCCGAGCGUUGUCCGGAUUUAUUGGGCGUAAAGCGAGCGCAGGCGGUUAGAUAAGUCUGAAGUUAAAGGCUGUGGCUUAACCAUAGUACGCUUUGGAAACUGUUUAACUUGAGUGCAAGAGGGGAGAGUGGAAUUCCAUGUGUAGCGGUGAAAUGCGUAGAUAUAUGGAGGAACACCGGUGGCGAAAGCGGCUCUCUGGCUUGUAACUGACGCUGAGGCUCGAAAGCGUGGGGAGCAAACAGGAUUAGAUACCCUGGUAGUCCACGCCGUAAACGAUGAGUGCUAGGUGUUAGACCCUUUCCGGGGUUUAGUGCCGUAGCUAACGCAUUAAGCACUCCGCCUGGGGAGUACGACCGCAAGGUUG